AAAGAGCCCUACAUAAAAGGAGGAGUCGCUCCAUUAUGGCCCCGAGUCAUGUGCGGGUAGCCGCGAGGUUGCACGUGAAGUAGUUGACAGGGGAAGCGUAGGCCAGCCAUUGAGCUCCGAAAUCACCUAUUCUGGGGUGCCGACCGCGUUGGAUGAUCGGGAAGGCAAAACGGUGUAUGACGUUAAACGACGAGUCAUGAACCGGCCCCACGGAGUCGAAGACCC
rfam:Desulfobacterales bacterium S5133MH4 k99_1892013, whole genome shotgun sequence.